GAACUUCUUACAGCUAUUAAAAUCAUCAAUUCAUGAAAACCCUCGAGUUCUG
rnacentral:other from 1 species